rnacentral:rRNA from 1 species
AGAGCGAACGCUGGCGGCAGGCCUAACACAUGCAAGUCGAACGGACCCUUCGGGGUUAGUGGCGGACGGGAGAGUAACACGCGGGAACGUGCCUUUUGGUUCGGAAUAGCUCCUGGAAACGGGUGGUAAUGCCGAAUGUGCCCUUCGGGGGGAAAGAUUUAUCGCCAUUAGAGCGGCCCGCGUCUGAUUAGCUAGUUGGUGAGGUAAAGGCUCACCAAGGCUACGAUCAGUAGCUGGUCUGAGAGGAUGACCAGCCACAUUGAGACUGAGACACGGCCCAAACUCCUACGGGAGGCAGCAGUGGGAAUCUUGCGCAAUGGGCAAAGCCUGACGCAGCCAUGCCGCGUGAAUGAUGAAGGUCUAGGAUUGUAAAUUCUUCACCGGGACGAUAAUGACGGUACCCGAGAAGAAGCCCGGCUAACUUCGCGCCAGCAGCCGC